rnacentral:lncRNA from 1 species
UGCCGAAUUCUACGUGAAAUCGGACUUCGUCUACGGAAAGCCUCUGACCGAGCUCCUACAGCAAACGGCCCUCGCCUGCAGUAUUGACACCCAAAGCACCCAACGGUAGAAGGCUCGCCAACAACAUCCGAGCUCCUCUUAGAUGGAUAGCUACCUCUCUCUGCCAGAUACCUCAACCGAGCUUUGGUCGACAGGCCUGGACUCCUUGGUGGGCCACAGUA